rnacentral:rRNA from 1 species
AAUCUUCCACAAUGGGCGGAAGUCUGAUGGAGCAACGCCGCGUGAGGGAAGAAGUAUUUCGGAUCGUAAAGCGCUGUUGUAAGGGAAGAACACGUACGAGAUACACAGCUCUUACCUUGACGGUACCGUAUCUGAACGCCACGGCUCACUACGUGCCAGCAGUCGCGGUAAUAUGGAGGUGGCAAGCGUUGCCCGGUAUUACUGGGCGUAAAGCGCGCGCAGGCGGUCCUUUAAGUCUGAUGUGAAAGCCCACGGCUCAACCGGGGAGGGUCAUUGGAAGCGGAAGGACUUGAGUACAGAAGAGGAAAGCGGAAUUCCACGUGUAGCGGUGAAAUGCGUAGAGAUGUGGAGGAACACCAGUGGCGAAGGCGGCUUUCUGGUCUGUAACUGACGCUGAGGCGCGAAAGCGUGGGGAGCAAACA